rnacentral:tRNA from 14 species
GGCUGUACGGGGGCGUAGUGGUCAGCACUUUCUCCUCACAGCAAGAAGGUUCUGGGUUCGAAUCCCGGUUCAACCA